UUUAAACUUCAAAUAAAUUGACUCAAUUUUUGAAUUUUGUGUUUACAGGUACAGAACAGAAGAUGUAUUUCUCUUCCUAUCUGCAAUUAUGUGCUUUUCAAUGUACAAUACAAACAUCAAUCAAUCAAUAAUAAAUGGUAAAGAAUAAGUGAUGACAACAUCUCCAAGAUCAAGAAAUGGAAGAAAUAUUAAUGAGAAUGGUGAUGAAGAUGAUGAUGGGUAUCCAUUUUCUUGCAGUGUUGAUAGGCACGAAUUAAUCUUUUCUGAAAUCUUGCAAGAUUUAACCUCACAUUUUGGCUGUCAAGAUAGAUUUUCUUGGUGUACUGCCAACCCUUUUGGGCUAUGCUUCUUGGGUCUUGUAGAACAGGAUCAUUUUUAUCAUAUUUAUCAAACAAUGAGCUUUCUCUGGGCAUAAUUUGGUACCCAAUAUACUUCAAACCAAGUUUCCUAGCAGGCUCUCCAUAAUAUGUCUCCGCUGCCCAUUCUGUUCCAAGAGGAAUCACUUGUAUGAACACUGAACCAGGCUUCAUAAACAGAAAAUGAGUCAUGGCAGCACCAUGAACACCAAUCAUCACUUCACUCGAAUUAAGCGACCGAUAAAUCUUUGCCAGUUCUGUAGUCCUGUCAGGCCUCAAAACCUCAACUCUGAAUCCAAUUCCUUCAGCCAUCUUCACUAACAAAUCUCCAUUAGUUAUAGCUCUUGAUGCAUUUCUAGAUAAGAUAACCAAUUUAGGUCUCUUCAUUUUUGCUUCUUGCACAUCUUUUCUGAAAUCUAACAAGUUUCCUGAUGAUGGGGAUAAAGAUUGAACUUUCUGUUCUAGUUUCUUCUCAGCUUCUAGUUCCUCCUGUUGAAUCAAACCUUUAAUUCGAGGCCAAUAGGCUUUGUCUAGGAGAUUUCGAAAAUCGACAAUGUUCUUAUUCCCUUGCAUCAAAGAAGGAUCCACAGUGAGUUCAUCAUGGAUUCUGAGACCAACAAUGACUUCAGGGAAGCAAUGAGUUCUCUUAUCCCCACUAAAAUCAAUUGCAGGAUAAUCGGAAAGAUGCGAAAGAAUGUCCCCAUACUUCAUCAUCCACCAAGUAUGAUACUCAAGCAUAACAAACACAACUUUCUUGUUCAGAUGCUGGCAUGUAAUGUACAAAGGCAAAAUCCCAUCAUUGAAUUCGUGAUAAACGUUUCCAGUAUAGCCUCCCGUCGAAAAGACCACCGCCGGUACAUGAUGUGUGACAUCACAUUGGUGGUGAAUUGCAGAUUUUUCUUGCUUUGAUAUGAGGUCUAAUUGAUCAAUUGUAUCCAUAACACUUGUUUCCCAUUUUCUAGUGUAAGGUUUGAUGUUUUCAUGCUGGAAUUCCCCAUCUUCUUUAAUCAAAGUAUUGGUAUUGCUUGAGGUGUAGAGGAUGAUUGAAGAAGAAGCAGAUUGUGUUCUUACAUCUCCUUUCAUAAUACAGAUAUCUGAACGAAAACUGCUCCUAUCACAGCAUAUGGUUCCAUUCGAAAUUGAAGAACAUAACGGAGCAUUUACAUCAGCAACAAGCUCAUCAUCAGUUUCUAUAACAAAUGAAUACAAGAGAGAGAAAGCAGAGGAAGAGCAAAACAGGUGAGGUAACAAAAUAAGGCAACAAGAGAGAAGAGAAAGAAGCAGAAGAGAAAGAAGCUUAGGUCUUUUCCUCUUGUAGUAACCAGAGUUUGCACAGACAAAAGCAAGAGCUUCAUCAUCUUCCGCAUGUUCACCUUUCCUCAACUGAUGGUAACGAUGGCAGUGCACCAUCUUCCCUACCUAUAUAUAUAUAUAUACCCAAAUAUUUAAAAAAAAAAAUCUUUUUCUCUUCUCUUUUAUACUUUUUGCGAUCAGAAGAGAACAGAAAAGAGCAGAGCCUCAGAGCCCCUGUUCUAUGCCAGUCCAGGUUUUGAAAUGAACCCGACAAAGACAGAGAAGGAAAGCUUUCAAUCCAGCUAGUUGUGAAGCAAACCCAGUUAAGCAAAAAGCAAAAGAGACGUAUAUGUAAAGAACAAACAGGUGGGUAUGUGCGUUAGAGGUAUUCUGGGGAGGCGCUUCUUGGGUUGCUCUGUUUUUCGUGUUUUAGAGAUAAGAGAGUCUUCCAAGCCCAAAUAGUUGCGUAGAGAAAAGAAGGGUACGUAAAGGAUUUCAGGGUUUAAUAUGUAUAGAGAGAGAGAGAGAGAGA
rnacentral:misc_RNA from 1 species